rnacentral:rRNA from 1 species
AGCAGUCGCCACGGGAAUACGAAGGGUGCAAGCGUUAAUCGGAAUUACUGGGCGUAGAGCGUGCGCAGGCGGUUAUAUAAGUCAGAUGUGAAAUCCCCGGGCUCAACCUGGGAACUGCAUUUGAGACUGUAUGGCUAGAGCGUGUCAGAGGGGGGUAGAAUUCCACGUGUAGCAGUGAAAUGCGUAGAUAUGUGGAGGAAUACCGAUGGCGAAGGCAGCCCCCUGGGAUAACACUGACGCUCAUGCACGAAAGCGUGGGGAGCAAACAGGAUUAGAUACCCCAGUAGUCCCUGUCUCUUAUAC